UGGGGAAUCUUGCACAAUGGGGGCAACCCUGAUGCAGCGACGCCGCGUGAGCGAUGAAGCCCUUCGGGGCGUAAAGCUCUUUCGACCGGAACGAUAAUGACGGAACCGGGAGAAGAAGCUGCGGCUAACUACGUGCCAGCAGCCGCGGUAAUACGUAGGCAGCAAGCGUUGUUCGGAGUUACUGGGCGUAAAGAGUGCGUAGGCGGUUUUCUAAGUUCGGUGUGAAAUCUCCCGGCUUAACUGGGAGGGUGCGCCGAAGACUGGGAAGCUGGAGUGUGGGAAAGGCAGGCGGAAUUCCAGGUGUAGCGGUGAAAUGCGUAGAUAUCAGGAGGAACACCGGCGGUGUAGACGGCUUGCUAGACCAUAACUGACGCUGAGGCACGAAAGCGUGGGUAGCAAACA
rnacentral:rRNA from 1 species